GAAAAGUCCAGAAACAAUGGAGAGAGAUAGGGAGCUUCGAUUUCCUCCAGUCCACUGUCAUCUCUUCCCUUUUUCUGUCGUCCUCCACUAUAUUUGAUCGCGCGGUGAAAGUGGAGACUCGGCAUCUCUAUGUGAUACCCAGGUUGUCCGCCGUACUUCCCUGUCUCUACUUGUUUUCUUUGUUGCUUCUCUGUUCUCGCUGUUCACGUACACGCAGCUGGGGUCCGAGAAUCAGGUCGUCGGAGCUGCUCGUGAUUUUUUUUUCUUCUUCUAUUAUUACUGUGGUUGAGUGCAUCUGGUCCUUUAGCCUGCUUGUGCGUUUCUGAAGAGAGAAAGAGGAGUGGUCUGCCAUUGGUUGAAGCUGGAAAUAGGAGAACUCCUCUCCCUGUUCUGUCGGCUUCUUCUCGUUCUCUCCCUCCUCUGUUAUUGUUGGUACUUAAGGGUGUCUAGAGGAAGAGGAUCUUGAUAAAAGUGAUAAGGAGUAAGCUAUAGAGGUUGGAAAGGCUUAUCAGAUGGUAUAGUUGAACUCGUGACUCGAGAUAUCCACUGAGGAGUUUUAUUGCUGAAUUGAAGCAGAAGAAUUAUUUUAAUCAAAUCCUAAUUUGAUGAAAAAUUUGAACUUAUACCUACGUUGGCGUCUGGCCUUAGGUGCUCCACAUAGACUACAGGUAGGAGCCUUAUAUUUCUUUUAAAGUUGAAUAUUUGAAUUAAUAUUGUAACAAUUUCUAAUUACUCUA